UUGUUUACUGACGUGUUUCGAAAGCGCAGAAGGAGUCACUGCGAUGAAAACAAAACGACGCUCAGAAAUUAACCCUUAAAUUUAUGCAAAACUCUAUCUCUUUCCUCCUGAAAAGCAAUCCGCUUAUUUGAACUUCAGUCUGUGAUAGAUUUUUUUUUUUUGCGAGCCGACUUUGAUCGCCUGAUCGGGACCGGCUCUUUCCUCGAAGCGCACUGGACAACAAAUUGCCUCUCGAGCCACUCGCUGUCAGCUUUACCGUUAGCUUAGCUCCUUCUCGCACUGUGUCGUUUUGUGUUCCCCUCUGCAGCCGCUGUCUGCUGAUCGAUCGGAGACAUGUCGGAAGAUUAUGAAUUCAGCGAAGACUCGAGCAUGAUGAGAAUGGAGGAGGAUGGGGAGGGCAACUGUGACGAUCCCAUGUCCACCUCUGGGGACUGUGGCCUGAUGGGAGGAGAGGCCGACGGGUCGAAGAUCGAUGCCAGUAAAAAUGAGGAGGAUGAAGGGAAGAUGUUUGUUGGAGGGCUCAGCUGGGACACGACCAAGAAGGACCUGAAGGAUUACUUCACAAAGUUCGGGGAGGUGGUGGACUGCACUUUAAAACUGGACCCUAUGACCGGGCGCUCACGGGGCUUCGGCUUCGUGCUCUUUAAAAAUCCAGAAAGCGUUGAAAAGGUUGCCUCACAGAAGGAACACAAGCUCAACGGGAAAGUGAUUGAUCCCAAAAAAGCAAAGGCCAUGAAGAGCAAGGAGCCCGUGAAGAAGAUCUUUGUAGGUGGGCUGUCCCCAGACACGCCCGAGGAGAAAGUCAGAGAGUAUUUCGGUGCCUUUGGAGAGGUGCGUGGUCUCCUAAGUUACAAAUGUGCCCGCGCUAUUAUUUUCCUUAAACCCACUGGACGCCAUGUCUGUGCUGUAAACAAUCAGGUGGAAUCCAUCGAGCUUCCCAUGGAGACCAAAACGAACAAGCGGCGGGGCUUCUGCUUCAUCACCUUCAAGGAGGAGGAACCAGUGAAGAUGAUCAUGGAGAAGAAAUACCACAAUAUCGGGCUCAGCAAGUGUGAGGUGAAGGUGGCCGUGUCCAAGGAGCAGUACCAGCAGCAGCAGUACUGGGGAGGCAGAGGAGGAUACUCCUCCAGGUCUCGAGGGAGAGGUGGGGGACCCAACCAAAGCUGGAACCCGGGUUAUGGUAACUACUGGAAUCAGGGAUAUGGGAAUUAUGGAAAUUAUGGUUAUGGCAAUCAAGGAUAUGGUGGCUAUGGAGGCUACGAUUACUCUGGCUACAACAAUUAUUAUGGAUAUACCGACUACAACAAUCAGUCUGGUGGAUAUGGGAAGUCACCACGGCGUGGUGGUCACACCAACAGUUACAAACCGUAUUAAAGGGACAAACCGUCCACCUCCAAGUCGCGGAGCUUCCUUGCAGGCCAUGAGCUGACUCCCAGAUACUCUCAGGGCCCGCUCAAUGCGGACCGGGUAUGAGAAGCAUACGCUCUCGAAUGCUGCCGUUUGGCUUCGGCGGCGAAAGCAUCGGCCACAGAGACGAUCCAGCUAAAGACAUGGCUAGUUUAUGAAAGCAAAAGGAAGACUGCUUUGAACCCACCGUACAUUUCUCCUGUAUUUACCCAAGUGUCCCUUUUUUUGGGAGUUUUUUGGUUUGUUUGUUUGUUUCUUUCUUUCUUAUUGCAUUCGUUUAGAUCGCUUCAGGGUUUUUCUCCCGUCCUCGUUCUUUCUUGGUUUGUGUGUGACGUUCUUUCUGCUUGGCGUCGCGCCGCCCGGCGCUCGCAAGAGACGGCAGCAGAGAGACGAGAUCACAGUUUUACCCGCUUUAUGGUGUUUCAUCAGUCAUAUAAUACAAAUAUUCUUACAGAGUUUGGCAUCCAGAAACGUACAUUAUAUACACGUGAUGUAUUGGACAUUAAAAUGAUCAAAAUAACAAGAAUAAAAAUGAAAAAAAAAAACAAAAA